rnacentral:rRNA from 1 species
AACGAACGCUGGCGGCAGGCUUAACACAUGCAAGUCGAACGCCCCGCAAGGGGAGUGGCCGACGGGUGAGUACCGCGUGGGAACAUACCCUUUCCUGCGGAAUAGCUCCGGGAAACUGGAAUUAAUACCGCAUACGCCCUACGGGGGAAAGAUUUAUCGGGGAAGGAUUGGCCCGCGUUGGAUUAGCUAGUUGGUGGGGUAAUGGCCUACCAAGGCGACGAUCCAUAGCUGGUCUGAGAGGAUGAUCAGCCACAUUGGGACUGAGACACGGCCCAAACUCCUACGGGAGGCAGCAGUGGGGAAUAUUGGACAAUGGGCGCAAGCCUGAUCCAGCCAUGCCGCGUGAGUGAUGAAGGCCUUAGGGUUGUAAAGCUCUUUAACCGAUGAAGAUAAUGACGGUAGUCGGAGAAGAAGCCCCGGCUAACUUCGUG